CACGUAGGGGCGAGCGUUGUCCGGAUUAUUGGGCGUAAAGAGCUCGUAGGCGGUUCUGUAAGUCGGGUGUGAAAACUUACGGGCUCAACCCGGAGACGCCACUCGAUACUGCGGUGACUAGAGUCCGGUAGGGGAGUGUGGAAUUCCUGGUGUAGCGGUGAAAUGCGCAGAUAUCAGGAGGAACACCAACGGCGAAGGCAGCACUCUGGGCCGGUACUGACGCUGAGGAGCGAAAGCGUGGGGAGCGAACA
rnacentral:rRNA from 1 species